AUCUUCAACCAUGAAAGAAAAUAAAUCGGAUUUUGUUUUGAUCAAACCAUAACAAUACAUUCUCUCCUUAUUUUGAGGGAUGAGGAAUCUUCCAUGUUUAGAAAGAAAAUUUCCUUCUGUCUAACACCUCUCUUUGCCAUGGUAGCUUUCUUUGCAAAGCAGUCUUUUAAAGAAUAAAAGGUUGGACUCUCCAUGAUAUGCUAGUUUCUCUCAGUUCGCUUGAACUAUGUAAUACAUUUUACAUUUGCAGAAAAGAGCAGGGUUUGAAUCGGUCAGUCAAAUAAGAGAGUCACAUUGCCUCCAAGACAACUACUAAAGAUGCCUUGCAGUUUAGGAAGAACGUUAGAAUUAGUAUAGAAACUGGUCCCGAUCUAUAAUUUUACUAAUUACCAGAUUUUAGCUCUCUGCGCAAGUCGGAUUCUCACACAGUCAUACUGUUCUGUCUUUAAGCUUAAUCUCUGUUUAUCACAAACGUUCGAUGUCAGUAACAUUUUUUUUACUGACAAUGCCCAUAUACUAAGCUGAUGAGUCCAUUGUAAGAAUUUAUACAAAUAAAUUCACUUCUAAAUUAGUUAAACUAUUUGGUUUUUUUUUCCUUAGGCAAAAGGAUAAGUGUAAAAUAAAUACAUGUUUCUCAGAACUGGAAACCAUGUAUUGCCAGAGUCCUGAAUGAUGCAGGGCUAUUAGUGCGAGAAUGCCAUAGCAGCAUUCUGCUAGGAAAGAAAUCUACAUCCUGCUUGUUUGGGUAAUAGUUCUUCCAUUAGAGGCAAUAUUAGAAUUUCAGCUUUUGAUCUCUCCUUGUGGACCCCUUAAAAUCCAAGCUGUGAAACAGCAGCUGAUGCUUUACAUACUAUAACAACAGCCAGCAAUAUACAAAACCUGGAAACGGCAUGCAAGGGAAAUUAAUGAUGGGCUGUUAAGGGAUAUACAGUAACUCACGUUUGCAUUACACAAAAUACAGCAAAUUAAAGCUGCCUUUCCUUUGUUGUGCUGGUGAUAGAGCAAAUAAACAUCAAACAGCAGUGCAGAGUGGCAAUAUCUGAGAUCACUUUUAAUUGCUAGAAAGCCCAGGAAAAAAAAAAAAGGAUAGAUCUUUAUCAGUAGCAGAGAACAAGCUCAGAAAGUUACACUGAUCAGUAGACAGAAAAUGAGCUCUGCAUCACCAUUACUAGCCUGAAUAAUAGCAUAUGGUACAGCAGAUCCAUCAGAGCAAAAGCCAGAGCUAGCUCCUGAAACACUCAUUUGUCAAAUUAACAAUUGCUAAUAGCACAACAAUAACAUUAAUGUAUUUGUUCCUUUUGUACGUGUGUGAUUUUAUUAUAUUUUUGCACAUGAUUACAAGUAAGAAGCCAUAAAUGACAUUUUUAUUUCACAGGGACUAUCUUGCAUGUAUUUUGUCAUAAUGCAAGUGAAUCCAUGUAGCUAAAGGACAAGGACAUUGUAAGUUCAAUGCCAAAAGGCCGAAAUUGAAGCACCCAGAAAAUUUUACUGACUGAAAGAGCAUGUCUCAGAAGAUGGGCAACAGCUGAAACAGAGGGAAGGAGGAAAGUGUGGCUGAGAAUAUGGGGUUUUACUUCUAUGCCUAAUUUGGCAAAUAAGUACCUGUGUCUUUCUGUGGAUCUCUUUCUUUGUGUGCAAUUUCCCUGGUCCUCGUUCUUAACCUCUAUCAUAGCUGUGAUGGAAAAAGCCUGCCCUGAGAACCUUUGGCUAUAAUUGAUUUUAUGUUGCAUUUAUAAUCCACAUAUCAUAGGGUAUUUUCAUAAAUUAGAUUUCAUAGAAACACUGAAUAUAUAUUUAAGCUAUGUCUAAAGCUGUAUGUUUAAUGUACAACCGUCAGUUCAAUAAAUCUGUCAGAAUCAACACUUGACACUACUGCUGCAUCAAAAAAAUAAAGCUAUCCUACUCUAAAUGAUA